GAGAGGUGUCCGAGUGGUCGAAGGUGCCUGACUCGAAAUCAGGUGAGGUGAUGAGCCUCCGAGGGUUCGAAUCCCUCUCUCUCC
rnacentral:tRNA from 1 species